rnacentral:rRNA from 1 species
CACCAGGCGCGAAAACUUUACAUGCGGGAAACCGUGAUAAGGGAACUCCGAGUGCCCGAAAAAUCGGGCUGUCCAUUGGUUUAAAUAACCCGUGAAGAAAAGGCCGGGCAAGACCGGUACCGGCCGCCGCGGUAAUACCGGCGGCUCGAGUGGUGGCCACUAUUACUGGGCUUAAAGCGUUCGUAGCUGGUUUGUUAACUCUCUGGGGAAAUCUUCCGGCUUAACCUGAAGGCUUCUCAGGGAUACUGACACACUAGGGACCGGGAAAGGUGAAGGGUACUUCAAGGUUAGGAGUGAAAUCCUGUAAUCCUUAACGGACCACCUGUGGCGAAGGCGCCUCACCAGAACGGCUCCGACUGUGAGGGACAAAAACUGGGGGUGCAAACCGGAUUAGAUACCCAGGUACUCCCAGCUGUAAACGAUGUGCAUUAGGAGUAUCAGUGACCACAAGUCACUGAGGUGCCAAAGAUAAAUCGUGAAACUUACCGCCUGGGAAGUACGGUCGCAAGGCUGAAACUUAAAGGAAUUGGCGGGGGAGCAC